UACGUAGGGGGCGAGCGUUGUCCGGAGUUACUGGGCGUAAAGGGCGUGCAGGCGGUGCGGUAAGUUUAGCGUGACAGUCUCCGGCUUAACUGGAGAAGGCCGCUGAAAACUGCUGGACUUGAGGGCCAGAGAGGGACAUAGAAUUCCGGGUGGAGUGGUGAAAUGCGUAGAUAUCCGGAGGAAUACCAAAGGCGAAGGCAGUGUCCUGGCUGGCAUCUGACGCUGAGGCGCGAAAGCUAGGGGAGCGAACAGG
rnacentral:rRNA from 1 species